AUUGAACGCUGGCGGCAGGCCUAACACAUGCAAGUCGAGCGGUAGCACAGAGGAGCUUGCUCCUUGGGUGACGAGCGGCGGACGGGUGAGUAAUGUCUGGGAAACUGCCUGAUGGAGGGGGAUAACUACUGGAAACGGUAGCUAAUACCGCAUAACGUCUACGGACCAAAGCGGGGGACUUUCGGGCCUCGCGCCAUCAGAUGUGCCCAGAUGGGAUUAGCUAGUAGGUGAGGUAAUGGCUCACCUAGGCGACGAUCCCUAGCUGGUCUGAGAGGAUGACCAGCCACACUGGAACUGAGACACGGUCCAGACUCCUACGGGAGGCAGCAGUGGGGAAUAUUGCACAAUGGGCGCAAGCCUGAUGCAGCCAUGCCGCGUGUGUGAAGAAGGCCUUAGGGUUGUAAAGCACUUUCAGCGGGGAAGAAGGCGGUGAGAUUAAUACUCUCACCGAUUGACGUUACCCGCAGAAGAAGCACCGGCUAACUCCGUGCCAGCAGCCGCCGUAAUAC
rnacentral:rRNA from 1 species